UACGUACGAGGCGAGCGUUAUCCGGAAUUACUGGGCGUAAAGCGCGCGCAGGCGGACCAUUAAGUUGGGCGUGAAAUCUCCCGGCUCAACUGGGAGGGUGCGCCGAAUACUGAAUGACUAGAGUGCGGGAGAGGAGAGUGGAAUUCCUGGUGUAGCGGUGAAAUGCGUAGAUAUCAGGAGGAACACCGGUGGUGUAGACGGCUCUCUGGACCGUAACUGACGCUGAGGCACGAAAGCGUGGGUAGCAAACAGG
rnacentral:rRNA from 1 species